GACGAACGCUGGCGGCGUGCCUAAUACAUGCAAGUUGAGCGCUGAAGGUUGGUACUUGUCCCGACUGGAUGAGCAGCGAACGGGUGAGUAACGCGUGGGGAAUCUGCCUUUGAGCGGGGGACAACAUUUGGAAACGAAUGCUAAUACCGCAUAAAAACUUUAAACACAAGUUUUAAGUUUGAAAGAUGCAAUUGCAUCACUCAAAGAUGAUCCCGCGUUGUAUUAGCUAGUUGGUGAGGUAAAGGCUCACCAAGGCGAUGAUACAUAGCCGACCUGAGAGGGUGAUCGGCCACAUUGGGACUGAGACACGGCCCAAACUCCUACGGGAGGCAGCAGUAGGGAAUCUUCGGCAAUGGACGAAAGUCUGACCGAGCAACGCCGCGUGAGUGAAGAAGGGUUUCGGAUCGUAAAACUCUGUUGGUAGAGAAGAACGUUGGUGAGAGUGGGAAGCUCAUCAAGUGACGGUAACUACCCAGAAAGGGACGGCUAAUUACGUG
rnacentral:rRNA from 1 species